AUUUUCUUUAGCUUACUCUAUAAUGUGCAAAUAAUCUUGUAAAAUAUUAGCUCCCUUUAUUUAUUUUUCAGGCACCCAAUUGAUGGUGCUCAGUCUUUCUGUUACGCCAUCACAUUUUACAGUUGCCUCUGUGAGCCAAUGAAACUGCCUGCAUUCAAAUUUUUAAAUUUUCCUGCAGUUGUUGAUGCUGCUUGCUGCAAACCGUUUACCUCAACUAAUUACAGUCGGCGUGUCUAAUUCUGCAAACCUUGAGGAAAUUUCCAUUACAAAUAUUUUAUGGAGAGAAAGCUGUUAUGAACAUGGCGGGGAUUAUCCCUACAUGGGCGUGCACAACAGCAAGCAGACGAUCUGGAUAAUCUCAGUGUACUCUUUGUCCAUGUUGAGCAUUACAGGACAUCUUUAAGUUAACGUUACCGAUAUUCAUUUAAACACCAUAUCUUUCUUUCAGUUUAUAAUUGCAACAUCUUUGAAAGGACACGCCCACUGUUCAAAGUCCUUAGAUCAGACCGCUUCUUUUCUUUAAUUAUCUAGACUGGCCUCAGCGUGGACGAUAUGUGUUAAAGGUAAGGUAAACUGGCUGCUGCUGCUUGUGCACGGACUAUUUGGCUUUGUGUGCCGUUUCAUACUGAAAAAGCAAGUGAAAUCUGCAGAAAACCAGGUGUUGCAUGGGAUCAAUCAUAAUGAGGCUAUGCCAAGGUUUAUUUUGAUGCAUCAGUGAAAAUGGGUAUGUGUAAAUUUUUGCAUAUCAUUAAAAAUGAACAAGUGAGCAGUAAAGUAAAAAAGAAUGAGCAGAAUUAUGAAGAAACUCACACGGUGACGCCACUCCACUGAACCCUUCUGCAUAUUGAAUCCAUUGUAUCCUGUCUAUUUCAGUCUUUUUCCUUGGGUUAGAUUUCAGAUAUGCAUGUGCUACUUCCAUGGUUAAAUAAACCAAACAUCUUACAUUUUGUCUGCACUGAAACUUGAGAGGAAGGUUUUUGUUAUUGAGGACAAGUGGAAACCAGGUGAAAUCCCACACCUGAAUCUGACCGAGGUCAGGCCUGAUAGGUAACAGGAAGAAAGCUCACUUGUGCUGAUUUUUAAUUAGAAGUCCUUUUGGUUUGACAGUGUAACUGAGCCCAUGUGCAAAUCUCUGGGUUCUUGCAGACUAUAUAGACUAUAUUCCAGAUGACCUAAUAUGACCCUGGUCAAUUUGACCUACUGCAAGAAUUUCCCUUAAUUAAUGUUCAUAUCAAAAUUUUGAACUACAGAUCUAUUUAGAAUGUAUAAAUACCUGACAUUAAUAUAUGGAUGAAGAAUGCUUAAUUAAUAAGAAUUAAUGAGGUUUCUCUUUACUAUAAACCACUUUAUAAUCUUAUAGUAAAUGUAUUUUGGGUCACUUAAGGAAAAGUCAUCAAAUUUCAGGUUAAAAAAAGAAGAUUUAUGUCAUUUUUACAGCUGUAAAACAUCAAAAUGGGUCAAAUUUAUGUGCAAGAACUCCAGAAGUCUUUGAGUGGAUUUUAAGCUUUUAAAAUCUUUUAUUUGAGAGUCCUUCAUGGCACAAAAUCCAACAGGAAAUCAUCUGAAGAACCCAACAUCCAUUAGUUAACCAGUGUUACAUUAGUUAAAUAAGUCAAUAUGGCAUAAAAAUUGUAAUCUUUUUGUCUUCCGUUUUAAAUUUUCAUUUUUAAAAUUACAGACACAAUUAUUUUGCAUCUCCUAUUGGUCAAUGUGGAGUCACUUUGAGUAUCUUUGUAGCUAUUUUGCAUCUCUUUGUGGUAACGUUGCCUUUUGUCACAGUCACAGAGGGGCGGGUCAGUACCUAUGCAUUAUUUCCUGCUUGAUUUUUUUCAGUCUCUCUGUUUCACCUGAAGCCUCCAUAGUUCCUCACAUCCUGCCUCUAAGUAAAGAUGUCAAUUAGCCUCAAAUGCAAGUUUUUCCAAAUGUCUGUUUUCUAUUUACUAACAGAAUUUCAAAAUAGUGCUGGAAACGUCAACAGCGGUUUGAAAAUCAGCAGACCAGCUGAUCAACGCCUAACAGCUAUACAAAUCCCCACAAGUGUGACUACAGCCUCAUUUCUGAAGGUAAACUGUUGAUCGUAUGGGCUAUAGACCAUUUUUGUCCACUAUCAUCAGCAAAUAAUGUGCCCUCAUCAUAGUCAGAGGACUUUAGAAGCACUGGCAAAAGCAUAAAUUUCUGUUUCUUCUGUAACUUCUGUAACAUCCACACCUAAACGUGUUUGCACGUGUGGAUUCAUAUGUUCGGUGUGGAUCCCAGUGAAAAGUGAUCUCUGCCUGCCUCUUAGCAUGCAGCACUAACACCAGCUCAGAGGAAGUAUCUGUACAGCAUUGCAGCUUCCUAUAGCACUGAGCAUGUCCGGCGCCUCGUCACCCAGCACUACAUGAACGUGCAGUACAGGUGUAUACGAGCAGUCAUAGACCACAACCACAAAAGAGACAUACUUUUUGAGGCUUCUGUGGCCUCACCUGAGAAUGACAGAGAGGAUCAUCUAUCAAAAACACAAUCGGAAGUUUCUUCAGGGUCAAAAAACAAGAGCAAGACCAGUGCAAAACAUUCUAGAAAACCCUCCCAAAGAACAGAGAAGCCAGGAGCCAGGAUCAGACUGUCGGAUGAGGAAGAAGAGCAGGGAGGACCAAAUGAUUCUCUGAGUGAAUGUCUGAGCUCCCUCUCUGUGGGAGGAUGGGACGGUGACAGCUUAUCUGAUUUGUGAUUCUUUUAUAAUAAUAUAGUGACGCUUUCUUCUAUUUAAACGCCACAAAAUUCAGUUUCCAGUAUAUAUACUGUAUAUACUGAUCAGACACUACUGGUGUUUAAAGGAAAGCUUCAGGAAUUUUGAAUUGAGAUUUUCACUUGCAUCUAGAAAUUGUUUACAGUUAUCUGGAUCAUGCAUUAUUUGUAUCUGUAGAAAUAAAUACUCUGUAUGUGAGCUUCUAAAUGUACAGCUGUGUCUUAGUUUUGUGUUAAGUUAGAAUUCCUCCUUAUCAGAAUGUGUAACUGUUUUUCUUUUUUCAUUUUUUAAAGCCUAUUUAAGCUUUAAACGAUGUUUUAUGCAUCUGCAAGAUCAGUUUCUGUAAGAUGUAAAGAACAAGUUAAUGUAGCGCCCUCUGUGACUGGGGGAAAUCCUUUGGAAGACUUGAUUUCCAUGAAGUCACGUGAUCGCUACCGUUAAAGAGAGGAAUAAUGGGAAGUGCAUGCCUGUGCUGGCGUGCUUAGCGCUUGGUGCUGGCCACAGGCUCAUCACGAGCAGAUACUGUUUCUUUGGCUGCUUUAAAGAAGAGUUUGCUUUCUUCUUUCAAAAUAAUGACGUGUUUUAAUUUCAUUGGCUAAAUGAAGCCGACUUGGAUUUUUUUUUUUCUUAGUGUUAACGGAAAAAGUAAAGCCUCCCCCCCCCCUUUUUUUGCUGCUAACACAGGUUUCCCAUUGUUGAUAUGAAACAGAUGUUUUGGGAUGCAUUAGUUGCAUAAGUACCUCUGGAAUUCAGGAAAGUUUAAAAUCUUCAAAUUCUUCACGUGAACUAGUAUGGAUGAAAACUCUCUGAGAGAGGCAUUGAUGAUAUGCUGAGGUCUGGUAACUGUAUUAUUUUUUUAUUUUCACUUAGAAUAACGUCAUUGACAUCUAUGUUCUGCAUGUGCAAUUCUUAAAUGUAUAUGUUUAUAGUUGUGUGUGACUGUCUCUUUUGUUUUAUCCGUUUAGGAACUUGUAUUUUCACUUUAAUAGUCACUGCUAUUAAUUUCUACUCAUCUGUUUUACAGUCCUGUGCAAAAGUCUUUAGCCACCCCAUCAUUUCUUGAUAUUUUGCAAGAAAAGGCAGCUUUCCUGUCAUUUCUUUAGUGUUCAGGAAUAGUUCUCCGGGCUUCUUCAAGGACAUUCAGCUCUCAUCUUUGGAUGUUGGCUGUUGUUUCUUCUGUUCUCUGCCAAGAUGAUCUCACACUGCUUCAGUAAUGUUCUGGUCUGGGGUUUGGGGAAGGCCAGUCAAUGACUGAUGGGGGUUUUCUGUCCGGGUAUGCUUUUACUGAAUUGGCAGCGUUUAGGAUUAUUGUCCUGCUGAAAAAUGAAAGUGCUGCCAAUCAGAUGCUUUCUAGAUUGUUUUAAAUGGUGGAUUAAAGUCUGAUGAUACUUUUCUGCUUUCACAUUUCUGUUAAUUUUCACAAGUGGCUGAUUAGAACCAAAAAUUUCAGAUUUCGACUCACCACACCUUAAGACCUGUUCCACUGAUUUUCAGUCCACUUAUUCAUCAGCUGAAGAGUCUCUAGUCCUGUGCCAGGUCUUUGCUGGAUUUUUUUUUUUUUAAAUUUCUAAAAGAUGAGUCAUAUCCAAAAAAUGCAUGCUGUAAAUAGAUUUUUUUUAGACCUGCCACUUCUUCUUUUGUCCUCUACUGGUCCAGUUUCCCCAAAUUUGUGAAGGCCACACUGCACACUGAGAUAUGCCAAGUUUUUAGCUGAUAGCUUUUUAGGAAUCACAUUCUUUCGUGCAAAAAUACUAUUUCAUGUCUGUCAGACUGCUUUCUUGGGCAUUUUUCAUAGAUUUGCCAAGUUGUCUGUUAUGUGCAGAGACAACACUGGUUCAUCACUUGAGUUAGGGGCCUUUUUUAAACUAUUAUUUAAGGUAACCUGAAACCUAAUGUAUCCUGCUUAUGUUUGCCAUGGCCCCGCCAAUAAUGUUAAUAUGUGGUUCAAAGCCAUUUUAAUAAUCAUUUCCACCUUUUUGUAAUCAUGAUUUGUACCAGGUGUGUUAUUUAAUGGGGGCAUAACUAUUUUUAUUUAGACAAUACUAUAAUAUAUGCAAAGAUGAUCAUAAUUCCCUCAUGGCAAAAAAAUCAAUGCUUUGCAAUUUUCAGAGAAGCAAACAGCUUUGAGUAUAAAAGAGCGAUGUACACCAAGCCAGACAGAGGUUUAAACAUUUCAGUAGCCUGAAAUCAGGAACAGGGAGGCUUUUUCUGUCUGUGUGGUAUCACAAAGUUCCAGUAUUAUGUGCAUUGAUACUUAGGGGGAUUUCUUUUUCAAAUAAGCACGUUGAGUUAUCCUCAAAUUUUUCAAGACAGAAGAGUAAAAGUAUAAAUAAAUUUGAAUUUCCCAAAUGAAAUAUCAAAACACUAUUUAUGCACGGCUAUUACUGCUGCGAAUAUAAUUUAACACACAGCAACAGAUGGAGUGAAAUUACAUCUUUAUUGUGGGAAAGAAAUGAAUAAAAGGAGGCUAACUACAGGAAGCAAUGGCCUGUUACAUGUACAGGAUGUGAGGAGGGUGUUUAUUAAAACAACAACAAAAAAACCCAAAGAAAAGAAAAUGGCACCCAAUAUUAUUGCAUUCUCUACAGUUACCAAAAGACAGCUCAGGUAUAAGCAAAUGCUGAUGACAUAUAAACAAUAUAAUACACAGGUCUUUUAGAGUUAACUUACAGAAGUUAUAGCAU